rnacentral:rRNA from 1 species
GACGAACGUUGGCGGCGUGCUUAACACAUGCAAGUCGAACGGAGUGGCGAACGGGUGAGUAACACGUGGGUGAUCUGCCCUGCACUUCGGGAUAAGCUUGGGAAACUGGGUCUAAUACCGGAUAGUGCAAGAUGAGCUCGCGGCCUAUCAGCGUGUUGGUAGGGUAAUGGCCUACCACGGCGUCGAAGGGUAGCCGGCCUGAGAGGGUGUACGGCCACAUGGGGACUGAGAUACGGCGCAGACUCCUGCGGUGGGCUGCAGUGGGGAAUAUGGAACAAUGGGCGGAAGCCUGAUGCAGGGACGCCGGGUGGGGGAUGAAGGCCGUCGUGUUGUAAACGCCAUUCAACGGGGACGCGGGAGCUGUAGAAGAAGCACCGGCGAACUACGUGACAGCGGCCGCGGUAAUA